CAGACCUGGACCUGUGCGCUCAAGUUGUCUGUCCGUUCAACUGGCAGUGUCAGGACCAUGGAGACCAUUUCAUCUGCAACGCCAGGAGCACCAGACUGGUGGAGCCCUAUGCGUGUAGCAGCGCCUCCUGCCCUGACGGACUGCUCUGCAAGCAGGAGGGGCCGGCAUCUUUCUCCUGCAGAGCUGGGUAGAUUUCCCAUGAGUCCCUCUGCAACGGCUACAAGACGGACCGGGAUCGGAAAACGAAGAGAAACACAUUGACAAGAAGACUAAUUUAGCAAAGCAAAGCAAACCUUGACCUUAUCCUUCUUUUUCAACCUUUAGCUAUACGAAUAUUAGUGGUUUUAAGAUAAUGCAAUACUACUUACCUCUGUGCCUGGGUGUGUACACUCUAUUGCAACAGUAAAAUGCAACAAAAUCCAUAGGUGUGCCUUGUUGUAACGGAAUAUGUUAAAAUACAAUUAAAUCUCUACAACUAGAUGAAAAAAAUGACAUUUACUUCCGGACGUUUUGAGUGACAUCCAUCACUCUUCUUCAGUGUCCCUAGAUUGAACUGCCAGAACAAAUACAGCUAACUAUAAAUUUACCAACUCCUAACGAUCUUGUGCAAAUUUCCCUCAAAUAAAAAUCAUGCUUGCAUAGUUCCCUAUAGUAAGUUAGUAUGGUAACGCAAUAUGAUGUCUGAUAGUGUUACCAUACGAAUGUCUACACCGAUUGUCUCUUGAUUGUGUGAUGGAUCAAUAGUGUAAUACAAAGGUUUGAUAUGUAAUUGCCUUUGUAAAAGUAAUAUGUAGGAUGAGGGAAAUACCAACAGCAAGUAAUGAAAACCAUAUCCUUAAAGUAAUAGUUAACAAAUGGCUUCUCUCCGUUGCAGCUUGACUACUUCAACACUUUCCUUGCACAUGUAGACUCAAAUAAAGGUCAUCAAAAAUCA